UACAGAGGUCUCAAGCGUUGUUCGGAUUCAUUGGGCGUAAAGGGUGCGUAGGUGGUUUGUUAAGUUGAAGGUGAAAUCUCGGAGCUCAACUCCGAAACUGCCUUCAAUACUGGCGAACUCGAGAACUGUAGAGGAGAAUGGAAUUCACGGUGUAGCAGUGAAAUGCGUAGAUAUCGUGAGGAAGACCAGUGGCGAAGGCGAUUCUCUGGGCAGUUCCUGACACUGAGGCACGAAGGCCAGGGGAGCAAACGGG
rnacentral:rRNA from 1 species